rnacentral:rRNA from 1 species
AGUGAACGCUGGCGGUAGGCCUAACACAUGCAAGUCGAACGGCAGCACAGUAAGAGCUUGCUCUUACGGGUGGCGAGUGGCGGACGGGUGAGGAAUACAUCGGAAUCUACUUUUUCGUGGGGGAUAACGUAGGGAAACUUACGCUAAUACCGCAUACGACCUACGGGUGAAAGCAGGGGAUCUUCGGACCUUGCGCGAUUGAAUGAGCCGAUGUCGGAUUAGCUAGUUGGCGGGGUAAAGGCCCACCAAGGCGACGAUCCGUAGCUGGUCUGAGAGGAUGAUCAGCCACACUGGAACUGAGACACGGUCCAGACUCCUACGGGAGGCAGCAGUGGGGAAUAUUGGACAAUGGGCGCAAGCCUGAUCCAGCCAUACCGCGUGGGCGAAGAAGGUCUUCGGGUUGUAAAGCCCUUUUGUUGGGAAAGAAAAGCAGCAGGUUAAUACCCCGCUGUUCUGACGGUACCCAAAGAAUAAGCACCGGCUAACUUCGUG